UACGAAGGGGGCUAGCGUUGCUCGGAAUUACUGGGCGUAAAGCGCACGUAGGCGGCUUUCUAAGUCGGGGGUGAAAUCCUGGAGCUCAACUCCAGAACUGCCUUCGAUACUGGAAGCUCGAGUCCGGGAGAGGUGAGUGGAACUGCGAGUGUAGAGGUGAAAUUCGUAGAUAUUCGCAAGAACACCAGUGGCGAAGGCGGCUCACUGGCCCGGUACUGACGCUGAGGUGCGAAAGCGUGGGGGAAGCAACAGGGAUUAAGAA
rnacentral:rRNA from 1 species